rnacentral:rRNA from 1 species
ACGGGUGAGGAAUACAUCGGAAUCUACCUUUUCGUGGGGGAUAACGUAGGGAAACUUACGCUAAUACCGCAUACGACCUUCGGGUGAAAGCAGGGGACCUUCGGGCCUUGCGCGGAUAGAUGAGCCGAUGUCGGAUUAGCUAGUUGGCGGGGUAAAGGCCCACCAAGGCGACGAUCCGUAGCUGGUCUGAGAGGAUGAUCAGCCACACUGGAACUGAGACACGGUCCAGACUCCUACGGGAGGCAGCAGUGGGGAAUAUUGGACAAUGGGCGCAAGCCUGAUCCAGCCAUACCGCGUGGGUGAAGAAGGCCUUCGGGUUGUAAAGCCCUUUUGUUGGGAAAGAAAAGCAAUCGAUUAAUACUCGGUUGUUCUGACGGUACCCAAAGAAUAAGCACCGGCUAACUUCGUGCCAGCAGCCGCGGUAAUACGAAGGGUGCAAGCGUUACUCGGAAUUACUGGGCGUAAAGCGUGCGUAGGUGGUUGUUUAAGUCUGUUGUGAAAGCCCUGGGCUCAACCUGGGAAUUGCAGUGGAUACUGGGCGACUAGAGUGUGGUAGAGGGUAGUGGAAUUCCCGGUGUA